rnacentral:rRNA from 1 species
CGUAGGUGCAAGCGUUGUCCGGAAUUAUUGGGCGUAAGAGCUCGUAGGCGGUUUGUCGCGUCUGCUGUGAAAUCCUAAGGCUCAACCUUAGACUUGCAGUGGGUACGGGCAGGCUUGAGUGCGGUAGGGAGAUUGGAAUUCCUGGUGUAGCGGUGGAAUGCGCAGAUAUCAGGAGGAACACCGAUGGCGAAGGCAGAUCUCUGGGCCGCUACUGACGCUGAGGAGCGAAAGCAUGGGAGCGAACAGGAUU